GAAAUUUAAACAGAACAAUAAACUUGUGAAAUUGAAUUCUGUAUUACCUAGACAAUAUUUUUUUGUUUGUUAUCAAGGCCAGACACGCCCAGAGAGCAGGACACAGCGAGAGACACUCAGAGGGAAAGACACAGAGCGAGAGAGAGAAAGGAUGCAGGAUGCGUGUUUUUGGCAGAAAGAAAAGAGGUUGGCCGAGCUCCUGCUAACGGACGGACAUACAAAGCAAAACCCAUCAUGUGAUCCUCUUUGUGGAGAAUCUUAGGGAGAAGAAUGGUAUUAAGUACCCAUCCAUCCAUCAAUCUGCUGCUUAUCCAAGCCAUUCUGAAGCCAGCCAAGAGACCUCCCCAAUGUGUUUUGGAUCUGCCUCUGGGCCUGCUCACAGAUACACAUGCCUGAGACACCUAAGAGUUGCACCGUGGAGGCUGGG